rnacentral:rRNA from 1 species
GUCAAAGAAGUUGAUUGUUAUCCUAAUGUCUCCACUGCGUAUCGCAUCUUGUUUACUGUGCCUGUGGUAGUCGCAUCGGCUGAAAGAAGCUUUUCAAAUUUGAAGUUAUCAUAGAAUUAUUUGAGGUAA